UGGGGAAUCUUCCGCAAUGGACGAAAGUCUGACGGAGCAACGCCGCGUGAGUGAAGAAGGUUUUCGGAUCGUAAAAACUCUGUCUUUUGGGGCGAACGUGAGUAUGGUGAACAAUCAUAGUCAGUGACGGUACCAAAGGAGGAAGCCACGGCUAACUACGUGCCAGCAGCCGCGGUAAUACGUAGGUGGCAAGCGUUGUCCGGAAUUAUUGGGCGUAAAGAGCGCGUAGGCGGGAUAGUCAGUCUGUUGUAAAGUGCGGGGCUCAACCCCGUGAUGGCAAUGGAAACAGCUAUUCUUGAGUGCAGGAGAGGAAAGGUGGAAUUCCCAGUGUAGCGGUGAAAUGCGUAGAUAUUGGGAGGAACACCAGUGGCGAAGGCGACUUUCUGGACUGUGUCUGACGCUGAGGCGCGAAAGCCAGGGGAGCGAACGGGAUUAGAUACCCCGGUAGUCCUGGCCGUAAACGAUGGGUACUAGGUGUGGGAGGUAUCGACCCCCUUCCGUGCCGGAGUUAACGCAAUAAGUACCCCGCCUGGGGAGUACGGUCGCAAGACUGAAACUCAAAGGAAUUGACGGGGUCAUAGCUGUUUCCUG
rnacentral:rRNA from 1 species